AAAAUUAUUUUAAAUUAGGUAUAGUGUGAGAUUGUAAAUUAU
rnacentral:guide_RNA from 1 species